AUGUCAUCUUUACAGAUGACCCAUGUUGAUUUAGAGCAAGGAAAUCAUCAACAUCGUCGUCAUCAUCAACAUCAUCAUAAUCCUAGUUGUUCUGUUGUUGGAAGUGAUGUGAGUGGUGAAGGGAGUUUGUGUUUCUCUGAUGCUGAUGAUGGUUCAAGCUAUUCUCGAUUCUAUUCAACGAAUGGUGGUUCUUAUGAUGAUUACUCUUUUGCUUGUGUUUCUGAUGAUCCUGAGCUUGGAUGUGGUGGUGUUGGUGGUUCUGCUAGAGUUUCUUCUGUCACUGAUUGUUCUGUUGAAAUUAGAAUUGGGGUUCCUGAGAUUAAGGUGCAUUUGGUUAAAGUUGAGAAAGAUUGUAGGAUUUGUCACAUGGGUUUGGAAAGUGAGAGUCAUGAAUCUGGUUCUCCUAUUGAAUUGGGUUGUUCUUGUAAAGAGGAUUUGGCUGCUGCUCAUAAAAACUGUGCUGAAGCUUGGUUCAAGAUUAAGGGAAAUAG